CCUACGGGUGGCAGCAGUCGAGAAUCUUCGGCAAUGGGGGAAACCCUGACCGAGCGACGCCGCGUGUGGGAUGAAGGCCCUUGGGUUGUAAACCACUGUCAGAGGGGAUGAAGUGCUAGAAAGCUAUCUUUCUAGUUUGACAUAGCCUCAGAGGAAGCACGGGCUAAGUUCGUGCCAGCAGCCGCGGUAAGACGAACUGUGCAAACGUUAUUCGGAAUCACUGGGCUUGAAGAGUGGUUAGGCGGGUUCGAAAGCCCUCGGCUCAACCGGGGAAUUGCGUCCUAAACUGCGAGGCUAGAGUGAGGUAGGGGUGUGUGGAACUUCCAGUGGAGCGGUGAAAUGUGUUGAUAUUGGAAGGAACGCCGGUGGCGAAAGCGACACACUGGACCUUGUCUGACGCUGAGGCACGAAAGCCAGGGGAGCAAACGGGAUUAGAUACCCCAGUAGUC
rnacentral:rRNA from 1 species